AAGAAACAUAGAGAGGAGCCAGAAAGGGGUGUAUUUUGGUGACCUGACCUAAUUUUUCUGUGGAAGCUCAGAUCUAAAUGAAGAGUUAGUAUUGGCCAGGCAAAUGGCUCAAUGUUCUGGACACAAGCAAGGGCAUGCCCAGAGCCCAGCGGUAGGAGAGGAUAGGGCUUGGCACGUUGGAGGAUGACCAGGGGGCCGGUCCGGUGGGAUGUGGAGUGGGUGGAAGGGAGGCUGGAGGAGGUGGCACUAAAUUGGGGCUAACAGCGAUGGGCGAUUAUCAGAGAUUUUUAAGAAGGUAAAUGCUCUAAUAACAUUGACUUUUUUAAAACAGUUUGCCCCACUGUGUUUUAUUUACAGAGGUAUAAUUUGCAGUGAAGUGCACAAAUCGGUGAAAUUUUACGUAUGCAACCUUUAUCACUCACCACCCAAACCAGAGUGGUGUCUUCCCAACACCCCAGGGCCUCUAGUCCUUUUCCAGCGUUGCCUGAAGACACAAACUACUGAUGGCUGCAUCCACAUGACUGACUUCAAACACAGCACGCUGCACGAGAAAAGCCGGAUACGCGCGUGGAAAGUGGGUGGCUCCACCACCCUGCUGUUCAGCUUUAUCUGCUCUGAAGAACCGAGUAUAACUUCUAAAUUGUGCAACAGGCUUUGCUGCCUUUGGAGCUGAAGUAAGCGAUCUCUUCAUUAUAUAUUCAGGGACACAAAGAAGGCCGCAAGUCACUUUUUAGGAAAUGCGAGUACACUACUGGGUUCCUUUAGAGAAAUUAAGAGCAAGGUGAACGAUGGGUCAGCCGGGGUGAUCCUGAUCCGGGCUGUGGCAAGAACCCAGCAGGAGACAGUUGAUUGCGCUCUCCAGCUCUCCGGUGCUCUCCAGGCCUCGGCACAAUCUCCAGCGUUCCAGGCUUUGUCUUUCAGGAGCUGGACAGAGGUCCUCUGUAGAAAAACAACAUUCAGUCCUCCCAGGAGACAGCCUCUUCCCUUUUAGUUUCACGCUCCAAGCAGGCAGAGAGAACCAUAAACUUUUCCUUCCACAAAAGUAAUGAAACACGUGAGUGCGUAUUUAUCAGCUCCAUUUUAUUUUUGUGAAAACCUUGUCUUGUUACAUUUCAUAAAAUUUAGAAGUGCAGGAAGUGUUGGACAUUCUCUUGUUUGUUCCCCGACUUUGAUGUUCGGAAGUCAGAGAUCAAGAUGUGCUUGUCCGCAGGUGGCCAGUUAGCAGAUGGCCCCGGGCCCUGGUCUCCUACCUCCUGGUUAAACUAUCCUCCUACCUGGGGGCUUUGUUCAGCUCUGCUUCAUUUAGUGAAACGCUGACGUUGUAAGCCUGCUGUGGAGUGUGUGUUUAGGCAAAUAGGAGCUGUGCUGUCUGCACCAGGCCCAACGCCAUGUGGGUAAAGAAAGGGACCCGGUAUUAGGGAGGGAACUCCUGAAGUCUUUGUGCUCCACCAUCUUUUGAGUGAUUUUUCAGGGAAAGGCUGGGAGUAGUGGGGGGGGGACAAACGGGGAACUCUGCUGGUGACUUCAUGCUGUGUGGCCUGGGCUCGGAGUCCUGCCCUGGCAGCUGCAUUCUUUGUGGUGGAGUCUGCCUUA
ensembl:lincRNA